GACAGCAGUCGCCGCGGUAAUACGAAGGGUGCAAGCGUUAAUCGGAAUUACUGGGCGUAAAGCGUGCGUAGGCGGUGAGUUAAGUCUGCUGUGAAAUCCCCGGGCUCAACCUGGGAAUGGCAGUGGAUACUGGCUCGCUAGGGUGUGUCAGAGGAUGGUGGAAUUCCCGGUGUAGCGGUGAAAUGCGUAGAGAUCGGGAGGAACAUCAGUGGCGAAGGCGGCCAUCUGGGACAACACUGACGCUGAGGCACGAAAGCGUGGGGAGCAAACAGGAUUAGAUACCCCCGUAGUCCCUGUCUCUUAUAA
rnacentral:rRNA from 1 species